rnacentral:rRNA from 1 species
UACGUAGGUGGCGAGCGUUGUCCGGAUUUACUGGGUGUAAAGGGAGCGCAGGCGGGGAUGCAAGUCAGACGUGAAAACUAUGGGCUCAACCCAUAACGUGCGUUUGAAACUGUAUUUCUUGAGUGAAGUAGAGGUAGGCGGAAUUCCGAGUGUAGCGGUGAAAUGCGUAGAUAUUCGGAGGAACACCAGUGGCGAAGGCGGCCUACUGGGCUUUUACUGACGCUGAGGCUCGAAAGUGUGGGGAGCAAACAGG